rnacentral:hammerhead_ribozyme from 1 species
AUUCAGCUGACGAGUUCCAAAUAGAACAAAGCGAGAGUCCUGGAU